rnacentral:tRNA from 1 species
GCCAGGGUAGCUCAGUGGUAGAGCAGUGGAUUCAUAAGCCAUUGGUCGUGAGUUCGAAUCUCAUCCCUGGCA